UACGUAGGGUGCGAGCGUUGUCCGGAAUUAUUGGGCGUAAAGAGCUUGUAGGCGGUUUGUCGCGUCUGCCGUGAAAAUCCGGGGCUCAACCCCGGACUUGCGGUGGGUACGGGCAGACUAGAGUGUGGUAGGGGAGACUGGAAUUCCUGGUGUAGCGGUGAAAUGCGCAGAUAUCAGGAGGAACACCGAUGGCGAAGGCAGCUCGCUGGGACGGUACUGACGCUGAGACGCGAAAGCGUGGGAGCAACAGG
rnacentral:rRNA from 1 species